rnacentral:rRNA from 1 species
GGAGCUUGCUCCACCGGAAAAAGAAGAGUGGCGAACGGGUGAGUAACACGUGGGUAACCUGCCCAUCAGAAGGGGAUAACACUUGGAAACAGGUGCUAAUACCGUAUAACAAUCGAAACCGCAUGGUUUUGAUUUGAAAGGCGCUUUCGGGUGUCGCUGAUGGAUGGACCCGCGGUGCAUUAGCUAGUUGGUGAGGUAACGGCUCACCAAGGCCACGAUGCAUAGCCGACCUGAGAGGGUGAUCGGCCACAUUGGGACUGAGACACGGCCCAAACUCCUACGGGAGGCAGCAGUAGGGAAUCUUCGGCAAUGGACGAAAGUCUGACCGAGCAACGCCGCGUGAGUGAAGAAGGUUUUCGGAUCGUAAAACUCUGUUGUUAGAGAAGAACAAGGAUGAGAGUAACUGUUCAUCCCUUGACGGUAUCUAACCAGAAAGCCACGGCUAACUACGUGCCAGCAGCCGCGGUAAUACGUAGGUGGCAAGCGUUGUCCGGAUUUAUUGGGCGUAAAGCGAGCGCAGGCGGUUUCUUAAGUCUGAUGUGAAAGCCCCCGGCUCAACCGGGGAGGGUCAUUGGAAACUGGGAGACUUGAGUGCAGAAGAGGAGAGUGGAAUUCCAUGUGUAGCGGUGAAAUGCGUAGAUAUAUGGAGGAACACCAGUGGCGAAGGCGGCUCUCUGGUCUGUAACUGACGCUGAGGCUCGAAAGCGUGGGGAGCAAACAGGAUUAGAUACCCUGGUAGUCCACGCCGUAAACGAUGAGUGCUAAGUGUUGGAGGGUUUCCGCCCUUCAGUGCUGCAGCUAACGCAUUAAGCACUCCGCCUGGGGAGUACGACCGCAAGGUUGAAACUCAAAGGAAUUGACGGGGGCCCGCACAAGCGGUGGAGCAUGUGGUUUAAUUCGAAGCAACGCGAAGAACCUUACCAGGUCUUGACAUCCUUUGACCACUCUAGAGAUAGAGCUUCCCCUUCGGGGGCAAAGUGACAGGUGGUGCAUGGUUGUCGUCAGCUCGUGUCGUGAGAUGUUGGGUUAAGUCCCGCAACGAGCGCAACCCUUAUUGUUAGUUGCCAUCAUUUAGUUGGGCACUCUAGCAAGACUGCCGGUGACAAACCGGAGGAAGGUGGGGAUGACGUCAAAUCAUCAUGCCCCUUAUGACCUGGGCUACACACGUGCUACAAUGGGAAGUACAACGAGUCGCGAAGUCGCGAGGCUAAGCUAAUCUCUUAAAGCUUCUCUCAGUUCGGAUUGUAGGCUGCAACUCGCCUACAUGAAGCCGGAAUCGCUAGUAAUCGCGGAUCAGCACGCCGCGGUGAAUACGUUCCCGG